CAUCAGUGCUAACUUGAUACAUAUAUAUAUAUCUGUAUAGUAUGCACUUAUAUGACUAUUUAUGUGUAUAUAAAAAUAUGAUUUAGUGUGGCAUGUGCUGAAGUUGAAUCUGUUAUGGUAUGUGGUAGAAAAUUCCAGCUAUAAGAAGACCCUCUCUUAUUUUUCUAAAUUUUUAUUGAAGUAUAGUUGAUCUGCAGAGUUGUGUUGGUUUCAAGCAUACAGCAAAGUCAUUCGAUUAUACAUAUGUAUGUCUCUGUUCUUUUUCAGGCUCUUUGCCCUUAUAGUUUAUUACAAAAUACCGAGUACAGUGCUGUAUGCUACACGGUUGGUCCCUGUUGGCCGUCUAUUUCGUAUAUGAUUGUGUGGAUCCGUUAAUCCCAAACUCUUCAUUUACCCCCGCCCCACCUUUCUACUGUGGUAACUAUAAACUUGUUUUCUAUGUCUAUGGAAGACCCUGACUUUGAAGAAAAUAAAUUUAUGGGAGAAAAAAAUGGGGUGGUGGGCAGACUCAAAGAUUUACCUGCAUUUUGGACCAGGCAUCUAAAGAACAACCCAGAGCAAUCAUUUUCUGCUUCCUGUUCACACGUUUUUCGCAUAUUUCUUUUAAUUAGCUGCCUGCCUGGCCUGUUUUUCGCAGCAAUAGGCCCCCUGAACUCGUGCCCCGGGUAUUUCGUGAGCUCUGAGUGACGGUCCCAUUCUUCUCUAAACCCAAGUCUGAUGCGCGUCUUCUAAGCCCUGCUGGGCUCCGCUCUGGCACCAGUGGAGGCGGAGACAGACCAACAGUGUCUCCUCGCCCAGCUCCCUGGCAAGAGGCAGCCUGGCUCCCCCGGUGAGGGUGAGGAUCAGUGCCCGGGGAACCCGGUGACCUCCACUCCCCGACCUGGUCUGAGUGAGUCACACCCAGACCUGCCGUUGCUUCUCCUAGCUGGGUCUGGCGAGCCCGACAAACAGGCAGUUUGCCUUUUGAUGUGUCCAGGCACAGGAGUGACUCAGCCCGGCCCUCUCCAGAGGGAGCGCGGAGAAGCUCUGGAGGGCAGGCAGCCUUUGUGAGGUCUCUGCUCCAGCCGGGAUGAGGGCUCUUCAGUCACUCUCCCCCUCUUUCCCUGAAAGAACCGGAGGAUGAAUCACCAGCUUGAAGGAGCCUGUUCCUUCCUUCCUAAUAAACAAAAUUCAAACCUCCAAGCCCCAUUAAACAUUCCCUCUGACACGGCCUGAAUCCCCACAGACGGAAGGCAUCAGAUGGCGAGGAGCGUGGUUUGCCCAGAAACAGAAGUGGCCAGAAGUCAAGUAAGAAGCUGACUAGAGUCACACACGACAGAAAUUCUGACUGUGAACUAAACCAACGUGACCAGUCACACGAGGCAUCUGCGCACCACUGGGUCUGGAAUCUGCUUGGAAAUCCAGGAGAAACACUUACAGCCCAGCUGGGUGUCCCACGGCUGUUUUUCUGGUUGUUGCCUUAAAGAUGCAAGGACGGAACCAAGAGACAGAAUCAACAGUGCGUGAAAAAUGCAACCAGCCUCGCAGGCCGUGUCUUGUUCCAAGUUCAGAGGUGGAGAUGGUUCCAGUGGCUGCUUUCAUGGAGGAAAGAGUAGUAUUUGGAUAUUAAUGGUUUACCAAGUUGUAUUUUUUGUUCUAUUUUUGAACUUUGCUAAGCAAAAACCCUGCACCUUCUGAACCUGGACUCUGAACAUCCUCUCUCUAGUUUACUAUAAAAAGAAGAUUCUUUAAUAAAAACUAGGGGUGGGAUGAGAGUUUAAAACAUUCUUUAAUCUUAAUAGCUUUCCUUGUGGUUCCUGAAUUUAUGGCUGAACAAGCACAAAGGGGUGAAUGGUAGGCAGGAAACACAAGUAAAACAUUGUCUUCACUUGAGGUCCUGAUUCAGG